AGCGAACGUUAGCGGCGGGCUUAACACAUGCAAGUCGAGCGAGAAAGGGGACUUCGGUCCCUGAGUAGAGCGGCGGACGGGUGAGUAACACGUGGAUAAUUUGCCCUUCAGCAGGGGACAACCACCCGAAAGGGUGGCUAAUACCGUAUACGUCGCAAAGGACUGCGGUCUUUUGCGGGAAAGCUGGCCUCUGAAUAUGCUGGCGCUGAAGGAGAAGUCCGCGUCCCAUCAGCUUGUUGGUGAGGUAAUGGCUCACCAAGGCAAAGACGGGUAGCUGGUCUGAGAGGAUGAUCAGCCACACUGGGACUGAGACACGGCCCAG
rnacentral:rRNA from 1 species